GAUGAAGACGCAGCGAAAUGCGAUAAGUAAUGUGAAUUGCAGAAUUCAGUGAAUCAUCGAAUCUUUGAACGCACCUUGCGCCCCUUGGUUAUUCCAAAGGGCAUGCCUGUUUGAGUAUCAUGUACACCUCAACUCUUGUGGUUUCCCACAAUGAGCUUGGACUGUGGAGGUUUUGUUGGCCCUGUGGUCAGCUCCUCUCAAAUGGAUCAGCUUACCGGUGUUUGGUGGCAUUACGGGUGUGAUAACUAUCUACGCUCGUGGUCGUCUCCAAAUAACCUCCAGUGAUGGAGGUUCGCUGGAGCUUAUAAAUGUCUCUCCCCAGUGAAGACAGCCUUUGAACGUUCGAUCUCAAAUCAGGUAGGACUACCCGCUGAACUUAAGCAUAUCAAUAAGCGGAGGA
rnacentral:misc_RNA from 1 species